CCUUCGAAAACUAGAGCAUCAUUCUUCCUGCUUCUCUCCGAUCAAUAUCUGUUUGCGGCCAUGGCGAACCCCGGCGAGGAGAGUUUUGCCUUAACCUAGGCCCUCCUUCCUCUUAAUGUGCGCACCUAUUCAGGUCAGCAAAUCCUCUGCUUCUGCUCUGUUGCCCUAAAUUUGUUCCAGUGGAAUUUCCAGUAGAAAAACCUUCUCCAUCGACGCACUUUUAUGGUUUCUCACUCCGCUUCUCAUUGCUCUGAGGGCAAUGAGCCCAAGGCUGCGGAGAAAGAGGACCUACAGUACCCUUUUCUCUGGGAAAGACUGGUAAUGGAUUGUUACUGGGAGAAUCAGAAAAUCCUAUAGUUACUUCUGGAGACUCUCUUCUGGUUAACCAGCGGGAAUCUAGUGAAUCACAUUGGAAGGAGCGGUUCCUCCCCUACAAACAUUCUUGAGGAAUUGUGACCAUUCGUGUCAGGAGGAGUACAUCCAGAUGCUACGGUCAUUACCCCCUGUUGGCCGUAGCAGACAUGCAGUUGAACUGGAGAAAAGUGCAACCCAUCUGUCACUAGAGGAAGUAGGGAAGGAGGUACAUUGGAUGACAGUUCUGAAUGUCUUGGGCAAGUCUGUGACAAAGAGUAAUGCAUUGUUGUCACCUCAACAACCCAACUAGUGAAAGGAUAAGAGAAUAAAAAUUCUUAACAUAUACUGCUUCAUCCAUGGCCAUGAAGGCAUUCCCAAUUAUCUGCAGGUUCAUGCAUAUGAGAGGUCAAAUCGAGUUUAUAAUUACUUGUUGGAUCCUUGUGGUCCUGUUCAUAUCACGAUUGGAGAUGGGGGAAAUCGAGAGAAAAUGGCAAUCAAACAUGCUGAUGCACCUAGUGACUGCCCUGCAGAUUAAUUGAGUACGCCAGAUGAAUAUAUGGGUAGCUUCUGUGCUACUAAUUUUAUGUCAGGUUCAGCAGCAGGAAAAUUCUGCUGGGACUGACAACCUGAUUUCAGUGCAUACAGGGAAAGCAGCUUUGGCCAUGGGAUCCUUGAGGUACCAAAGCAGCUUUGGGCAUGGGAUCCUUGAGUUUUUCCAGGGAAAGUUGAUAGAAGGCAAUCGUGGAAGAAAUGUGCAGCUCAUGUUUAUAUCAGUUGUCUCAUCCGGGCAUACCAGAAUGCAGAGAAAAGUGUCUAAGUUUCCUGUUCUUCCUGAUCAAUUGAAAGUAAAAGAAGAAACGAGGUCAGGUGGAGUGAGAAAUGAUUUGAGUGGAGCUACUACUUCCUCCAGCAACACAUACAGUUAUGCUGCCGGGAAAAGUCUGAAUGAAGCUUUAAUUGGUAUUCAACCAGACAAGAUGCUUCAGCAAAUCAGCAACAAACUUCUGUAGCAACUGGAAUUCUCAGUUCACAGAAGCUGGUUCAAUCAAUAUGUUAAGUGGAUUCGCAUUGGAAGAUGUGCUGAAUUAUUAGAGAAUUUGAUUAUUUUUUGAAGUUCUUGUACUAUUUAUAUGUCAAUUGGAUAUUGUAUUUGAACAAUGUCUUUUAGAUAUUUUAAUAUAUAAUCUUUGAAUUAA